rnacentral:rRNA from 1 species
UGUUAGCAUGGCUGUCGUCAGCUCGUGUCGUGAGAUGUUGGGUUAAGUCCCGCAACGAGCGCAACCCUCAUCCUUAGUUACCAUCAGGUUAUGCUGGGGACUUUAAGGAAACUGCCAGUGAUAAACUGGAGGAAGGUGGGGAUGAUGUCAAGUCAUCAUGGCCCUUAUGGAGUGGGCUACACACGUGCUACAAUGGUGAUUACAAUGGGCUGCAAGGUCGCAAGGCUGAGCUAAUCCUAAAAAAUCAUCUCAGUUCGGAUUGUUCUCUGCAACUCGAGAGCAUGAAGUUGGAAUCGCUAGUAAUCGUGGAUCAGCAUGCCACGGCGAAGACGUU